UUUUUUUUUUUUUCCUUUUUUUUUUUUUUUUUUUUUUU
rnacentral:ribozyme from 14 species